GUAAUGGAACAAAGGAGGCAAAACAAAUAAAACCUCCAAGCUCCAGAAUUUCAGAGCUGGUAGCAUCCUUGAAGGUCUCCUGGACCAGUGCCACAUUUCCAGCAGAGGAAACUGGCCCAGAUCCGGAAGCCGGAACGAGGUGUGCUUAAGCCCUCAGAUGGUUCCUGAGUCCGAUUUUGUUCAUGUCGCUCAGCUCCUCCUCUUCGAGAGCCGGGGUCCAAAGGCCACCUAUUCUGAAAGCUUCUGGUCUGGGUGAGAAUGACUGCCUUGGUGGGGGCGCACUUUCAUCAGUUUUACCUCCAGGAGCCCUACCAAAUUUUCACUGUGAGGUCAGGAGUUGGAGACCAGACUGGCCAAGGUGGUGAAACCCCAUCUGUACUAAAAAUACAAAAAUUAGCUGGGCGUGGUGGUGCAUGUCUGUAAUUCCAGCUACUUGGAAGGCUAAGGCAAGAGAAUCGCUUGAACCCGGGAGGUGGAGGUUGCAGUGAGCUGAGAUCACACCAGUGCACUCCAGCCUAAGCGACAAGAGCGAGACUCCAUCUGAAGAAAACAAAAUAAAAUAAAAAUAACUGAUUAAUAUGUUAACAGAUCUAAUGGAUAAAAUGGACAACAUGCAAGAACAGAUGAGUAAUGUAAUCAAAGAGAUUGAAACUCUAAGAAACAAUAAAAAAGAAAUGGUAAAAACCAAAAACACUAUAAUAGAAGUAAAGAACACCUUUGAUGGGCUCAUUAGUAGACUGGUCACAGUCAAGGAAAGAGUCAGUGGGCGGAGGAUAUGUCAAUAGAAACUUCCCAAACUGAAAGCAAAAAGAAAAGAAAUUUCAGAGAUGGAACAAAAUAUCCCCAAACUGUGGGACAAUUUCAAAAGGAGUAACAUAUGUGUAAUGGGAAUGCCAGAAGGCAAACAGA
rnacentral:lncRNA from 10 species